GUGAGGAAUUUUCCGCAAUGGGCGAAAGCCUGACGGAGCAAUGCCGCGUGAAGGAUGAAGGCCUAUGGGUUGUAAACUUCUUUUCUCAGAAAAGAAUUAUGACGGUAUCUGAGGAAUAAGCAUCGGCUAACUCUGUGCCAGCAGCCGCGGCAAGACAGAGGAUGCAAGCGUUAUCCGGAAUGAUUGGGCGUAAAGCGUCUGUAGGUUGUUUAAAAAGUAUUCUGUCAAAGAUUAGGGCUUAACCCUAGAUAGGCAGAAUAAACUUUUAAGCUAGAGUUUGGUAGAGGCAGAGGGAAUUCCCGGUGGAGCGGUGAAAUGCGUAGAUAUCGGGAGGAACACCAAAGGCGAAGGCACUCUGCUGGGCCAAUACUAACACUGAGAGACGAAAGCGAGGGGAGCAAAUGGGAUUAGAAACCCCAGUAGUCC
rnacentral:rRNA from 1 species